rnacentral:rRNA from 1 species
UUGCUGGUGGAUUAGUGGCGAACGGGUGAGUAACACGUGGGUGAUCUGCCCCAAACUUUGGGAUAAGCCUGGGAAACUGGGUCUAAUACCGAAUAUUACCGUCUCCUGCAUGGGGGUUGGUGGAAAGCUCCGGCGGUUUGGGAUGGGCCCGCGGCCUAUCAGCUUGUUGGUGGGGUAAUGGCCUACCAAGGCGACGACGGGUAGCCGGCCUGAGAGGGCGACCGGCCACACUGGGACUGAGACACGGCCCAGACUCCUACGGGAGGCAGCAGUGGGGAAUAUUGCACAAUGGGCGCAAGCCUGAUGCAGCGACGCCGCGUGAGGGAUGACGGCCUUCGGGUUGUAAACCUCUUUCACCAGGGACGAAGCGAAAGUGACGGUACCUGGAGAAGAAGCACCGGCCAACUACGUGCCAGCAGCCGCGGUAAUACGUAGGGUGCGAGCGUUGUCCGGAAUUACUGGACGUAAAGAGCUCGUAGGCGGUUUGUCGCGUCGUUCGUGAAAACUUGGGGCUUAACUC